UACGUAGGGGGCAAGCGUUGUCCGGAAUCAUUGGGCGUAAAGAGCGUGUAGGCGGCUUGGCAAGUCUGGUGUGAAAUCUUGCGGCUCAACCGCAAGCGGUCACUGGAAACUGCCUCGCUAGAGUCCGGAAGAGGAGAGCGGAAUUCCUGGUGUAGCGGUGGAAUGCGCAGAUAUCAGGAAGAACACCAACGGCGAAGGCAGCUCGCUGGGACGGAACUGACGCUAAGGCGCGAAAGCGUGGGGAGCGAACAGG
rnacentral:rRNA from 1 species